CCUCCAUCAUCUCUGUCCAUCCCAGGUGCACCAGUCACAGGGCACUGGGGACCUUCUCCUGCCACAGCAGGACACCAGCAGGAUCCACAGGCUGGGAAGGGACAGCCAGGGUUAACCACAGAUCCAGGCUGCUCACGAUCCUGUCAGACAGGAUCAGGAUCCCUCUGGAGAGCAGCAGUGCUGCUGCCUGGGCCUGACUGUGCUCUUCCCUGCCACAGCCCUGGUGGAUGUGUCCCACUGCCUCUCCCAGGCAGCAUCUGCUGCUCUCUCUCCUCACGUUCCUGUGGCAGCACCAGGCCAGCCUGGUCCCCCUGGGAAUUCAGCCUGGGCUGGUGGUGAGAUCCUCAAGAAGGGGGGGUUGUUUUCCUGCUCAGCUCUGCCCUGCUGUUGUCACCCCCAGCCCAGCCCCAGCACGCCGUGUUCCCCCACACCAGCAGGGCAGAGCUGAGCCAAGCCUGGAGGCUGCAAGGAUCACCCUGAGGCACGGAGUGAGAACUCCCUGGAGAGAGGAUGCUCUGCUAAGGGGGGUAAAGCAGCCUGAACUUCACCCUGUUUGAGAAAGUUCCCAGGGAUGGAUGGAGAAGGGGGGUCACGAUUUGCCCACGUGGUAACAUCAAUCUCUACACAACAAUUAUUGUGCUCAUUUUAACAGCUUUGCUUCAAUAUGGAUUCAAGAAACAGGGCAAUAUUUCAUACCUAUGCUAUGUAGGAAAUAAUUGGAUGCAGCCACACCCAGACCCCACCCCAGGACAUUUGAGGAUGUUUUUCUGCAUCUUUUUGCAUCUCCUGACUCAACAGAACAGCCUCCAUAAUAAACUUUGUUCCAAGCUUCCAUUCUGCCUGUAGCCAAGCUUUUGGCUUUCAGACAAGCCCACAGCUCAUUUGCAAGCCCCCAUCUCCUCCACAAAAACAUUAAGCAGCCAUUCUAGGAUAGCACUGGGAGGAGGGCAGGUUUUCACAAACAAUCCCACCACUGCCAGGAGACAGACACCUGGCCCUGAAAAUCUUGGCUGUGCUUGGGAAUGUUCUUUCCCUACCCAAUGUGAGCUGCAGUUACAACUGUUGUCCCUGUCUCCAUGGAAAUGCUUUGGCUUUAAAGGAUGCUGUGGCUGGACUGCCUGGGAUGAAGGGCUGCAGGCAGGAUGGGGAUGGGAAGCAGUCAAAGAAUGAUUUAGGGUCUGAUGGCAUCUGAAUGCUUGUACUGCUAUAAAUCCUAAGGAAUUCCUCCGGGGUUUUUUACCACUGCAGCCAAGACUGGAAUUGGCUGUGGCAUUUAUUCCUUGACAGCACUUGGAUGUGGAUGGUGUUGCACUUGGACUGGGGCUCACAGGAUUGACAGCUUUGGGGUUUUUUCACCAUGAGUAUCCCGGGAUUUCCUGUUCUCCCUGAAUUCCUUGCUUCAGAGGGUGAAAAAGAAAACACCAUCAGGCUUCACUUUUGCUUUGCAAAUUGAAAGAAAACAUUGAUUUCCUCCUCUGCAAGGCUGCAGAGUGAGCCUGGAGCCAGGCUAAAGGGGUAUGCAGGAGGGACCUGGCAAGCUGAAGAUAAAUAAGUAGAUAAUAAGAGAAUGGAUCAAUCUGUUUUCUGUAAAUAAUGGAUCAAUAACCUGCAGACAGAGUGUGAGUGUGCUGACAGCUGGGAGAGCAGCUCCAUCCCUGGCUGCAGCUGUCAGAGCAGCACCAUGAUUACCCUGCUGAGUCCUUCCCAGCACGGGGGCAAAGCAUUCCAGGGAGAUUUUCAGCAAUGCCACAGCCUGGAUAUAUUUGGGAUGAAGAUGCCUGGCUGGGCUGGAGUGACACCCACAGCUGUGGCAGCACUCAGCACCCUGAGCAUCCCCCUGUGCACAAACCCUGCUGCAAAUCCAUUCCCUGGCCUCGGCCCUGCAGCCCAAUCCCAGCAGGACAAAUAUCCCCAAGUCAUCAGCGCCUGCUGACGCACUGGGGUGGCAGUGGCAGCCCCAGCCCUCCACACCCCUGAAAUAGCUGCCUCCAGGGAGACCACAGCUAAUCCCCCUGGCCCAGCCCAUGGAGCUGGAGUCAAAAUAGCCGAGCUGCUCUUUGGGAUAACUCACUGGGCACAGCUGAGCUCCUGGCCAAAGCAGCUCGGCCACCAAAGAUCCGAGAUGCAGCGCCAGCCUGGCCUUGAGUCCAGGGCAGCCAGAGUGGGCAACAGCUCACACAGGCUCCCUCAGUCCAUGAGAAGAACUUGAAUACCAAAAUCCACCCUUUUCCCCUAAAUAAGCAAGGGUGAGAAAGCCAGCAGAGCUCAAGGGGGCUGGACAAACCUUCCCAGAGAGCUGGUGCUGGUCCACAUGGCCCAGGCCAACCUCACCCAGUACUCUGCUCCAGAGAGAGCCCUGGGCUGCUCCAGAACAGGAGCAGUGCUGCAAAAGCUCAGCUGAUGCCUCUGAGGGCGAGAGGGCAGCAGGGUAAGGAGAAACCCCCUAGGUAAGAUUAGACAAAGCAGUUUUUGUGUUAACUUCUUUACUUUCUCUGUUUUAGCAAUUUCAUCUUCUGUUAACUCAGUAGUUUAACCUACACACCAACUACUGAACCCAUCCACAGAGCAGCAUCUGCUGCCUACAAACAGGACCAGUGACCCACGAUGACAGACUCUGCUGAGACAAUUGAUUUGUCCAGAUUGAAACACGGGGUCAGAAACUAGAGGAUACAUACAAAAAUCACAGAAAUUAGAAAGUAUUGAUUAGGAACAGGCACAUAAAUGAUGGGAAUUGCUUAAUAUCUGCUGCAUCCUUGGUCUCCUGAGAAAGGAAAGGACUAGGUGCAAAACAGCAGGGAAGAAUGCAAGGAUGCUUGGUAAGGGGAAGGAUGUUUAUCAAAAACAGCAUACAGUAUGCAAGGACACUGAGAUAUGGAGGCUCCUUGGGCCCCUGAAAUGAAUCUGGACUCCUGGCUUGGACAGUGGCCAAAAGAUCAGUAAGCAUGUGCAAGGCAACAGGGUCAGAACGUCAGCCCUGAGGAAGACAAGUUUACUUCAUCCCCCAGGAUCCCCGAGACAACAACCAGAGACAACUGACAAGAUGAUUAGUACACAAAGCUGAGAGGGAGGGGAGCCAGGAAAUUAUCUACUGUGAACCUUGAUGCAUAGAGUCUCUCUCAGUGUCAAGAUGUUCCCAUCGUGCCAUCCUCAACUGAGCAGGAAUUAUGGAGCUUAGGGGCAUUUCCCUGCUAAAUGCUGCAUCCAGGAAUCAUCCCACCAUGAUGCUGCUGGUGGUACAGAGGCAGAACCUCCCAACACUCCUCGUUUCAGACAGGUUUCAAGCACUGAAAUGCCUUGGUUUGGGGCAAGAUCUGGAGAGAACAGGCUCUAGGCAGGUGCUUUAUUUCCAUUUCUUUUUCUCACACCUGGUGGAAGACAAAAUCCUUCCCCUAGGCCCAGAGGGGUGACCAGCCAGCUAUGCCACCCCCUGCCCACUCCUGCUGGGACAUCUUCCCUUUCCCAAAAAGAGGAUGGUGAUUCCUCUUUUUUUCCACACAAUCCAGGGAGCAAGGUGUUGAGCCCACCCAAACCCCAUAUCCUUGCAGCUGAUUUACUGCAGUAACCAAACUUUUUCUACCCAAUUUCUCCACUGUCCUGAGGGCACAAGGGGAUCAGAGGAAUGUCACCUCUCAAAUAACCCUGAGCCAUGUGUUUGCACGGAGCAAAUGGACUCAGGCAAUCACAUUAAACCCUGCAAGCUUACCAACAUUUCCUCCAAGUGCCUCAAGGGGAACGAGUUCAGCUGAAGCUGCUUAGGAGACAAACAGCUAAAGAACAAGAUGGUCAGGGCUGGGACAACAGCAGCAGCAGCCCUGGGCAUUUCUGAGCAACAGACCAGGCUUCUCAAGACCAAAAACCUCCCACAGUCUUUCAGCUCUCUUUUCUUCCUCUCCAUUCUGCCAGGGACCAAGGGGAAGGAAAACCCAAUGGUGUUGUUUAGAACAACAGAACAGAAUCAUCAAGGUUGGAAAAGACCUCCAAGAUCCAAGCCAAGAUCCUCCAAGUCCAACCUUUGGUGGAUACACACACGUGUGUUUGAAUUUCACCCAGAAGAAAGGGCCACGAAGCAGGAAAGCACAGAAA